AGCAGCCGCGGUAAUUCCAGCUCCAAUAGCGUAUAUUAAAGUUGUUGCAGUUAAAAAGCUCGUAGUUGAAUUUCGGGAUCAACACGUCGGUCGUGCCUUCGGUACGCACUAGCGUCGUUGGUUCCUCCCUUCUGACGAACCAUGAUGUCAUUAACUUGGUGUUUUGGGGAGUUAGGACUGUUACUUUGAAAAAAUUAGAGUGUUUAAAGCAGGCAAUCGCUUGAAUACAUUAGCAUGGAAUAAUGAAAUAGGACGUUCGAUCCUAUUUCGUUGGUUUCUAGGAUCAACGUAAUGAUUAAUAGGGAUAGUUGGGGGCAUUAGUAUUCAAUUGUCAGAGGUGAAAUUCUUGGAUUUAUUGAAGACUAACUACUGCGAAAGCAUUUGCCAAGGAUGUUUUCAUUAAUCAAGAACGAAAGUUAGGGGAUCGAAGACGAUCAGAUACCGUCGUAG
rnacentral:rRNA from 1 species